AGAGUUUGAUCCUGGCUCAGGAUGAACGCUAGCGGUGUGCCUAAUGCAUGCAAGUCGAACGGGAACCUUUGGAUUCGUCUGAAGGGGAGAGUGGCGGACGGGUGAGUAACACGUAGGUGACCUACCCUGGAUAGGGGGACAACCACUGGAAACGGUGGCUAAUACCCCAGAUGUAUUCAUGUUUAGAAGAUGAAUACUAAAACUCCGGCGAUCUGGGAGGGGCCUGCGGCCCAUCAGCUAGUUGGUAGGGUAACGGCCUACCAAGGCAGAGACGGGUAGGGGGCGUGAGAGCGUGACCCCCCACACUGGUACUGAGACACGGACCAGAUACCUGCGGGUAGCAGCAGCAAGGAAUAUUGCCCAAUGGACGCAAGUCUGAGGCAGCAACACCGCGUGGAGGAUGAAGGCUUUCGAGUUGUAAACUCCUUUUCUGGGGGAAGAGAAAGGACGGUACCCCAGGAAUAAGUCUCGGCUAACUACGUGCCAGCAGCCGCGGUAAAACGUGGGAGGCGAGCGUUAUCCGGAUUUACUGGGCGUAAAGCGCAUGCAGGCGGUUUUCUAAGUCGGACGUGAAAGCUCCUGGCUCAACUAGGAGAGGCCGUUCGAAACUAGGGAACUUGAGGGUGGUAGAGGUGAGUGGAAUUCCAGGUGUAGUGGU
rnacentral:rRNA from 1 species